UACGGGGGGGAGCAAGCGUUGUUCGGAUUUACUGGGCGUAAAGGGCGCGUAGGCGGUCGUGACAAGUCACUUGUGAAAUCUCCGGGCUUAACUCGGAACGGUCAAGUGAUACUGUCGGACUAGAGUACAGAAGGGGCAACUGGAAUUCUCGGUGUAGCGGUGAAAUGCGUAGAUAUCGUAAGGAAGACCAGUGGCGAAGGCGGGUCUCUGGACAGUUCCUGACGCUGAGGCACGAAGGCCAGGGAGCAAACGGG
rnacentral:rRNA from 1 species